rnacentral:rRNA from 1 species
CCUACGGGUGGCAGCAGUGAGGAAUAUUGGUCAAUGGACGAGAGUCUGAACCAGCCAAGUAGCGUGAAGGAUGACUGCCCUAUGGGUUGUAAACUUCUUUUAUAUGGGAAUAAAACGUUCCACGUGUGGGAUUUUGUAUGUACCUUAUGAAUAAGGAUCGGCUAACUCCGUGCCAGCAGCCGCGGUAAUACGGAGGAUCCGAGCGUUAUCCGAAUUUAUUGGGUUUAACGGGAGCGUAGGUGGAUUGUUAAGUCAGUUGUGAAAGUUUGCGGCUCAACCGUAAAAUUGCAGUUGAAACUGGCAGUCUUGAGUACAGUAGAGGUAGGCGGAAUUCGUGGUGUAGCGGUGAAAUGCUUAGAUAUCACGAAGAACUCCGAUUGCGAAGGCAGUUCACUGGACUGCAACUGACACUGAGGCUCGAAAGUGUGGGUAUCAAACAGGAUUAGAUACCCGGGUAGUC